AAGUCGUAACAAGGUUUCCGUAGGUGAACCUGCGGAAGGAUCAUUACAGAGUUGCAAAACUCCCAACCAUUGUGAACCUACCUCACCGUUGCUUCGGCGGGUGGCCCGGGGCAACCCGCGCCGCGCCGGCCCCUCUAGAGGGGCCCGGCAAACCCGUCAGAAGACCGAAACUCUAAUGUUUCUUAUUGUAACUUCUGAGUAAAACAAACAAAUAAAUCAAAACUUUCAACAACGGAUCUCUUGGUUCUG
rnacentral:misc_RNA from 1 species